rnacentral:lncRNA from 1 species
CGGCUGAAGCGGCGUCCUGAGGUCUGGUGGGCGCUGGCGGCCCUGGCUCCGAAAGGGCACCGCCAUCAACGGGGGAAAAGGUUAAAGAGCAGGAAACUCGCCCGUCGUUGCUCCGCAUCCGAGCAAGUUCACGUUUCGUUUGUGCUUCGCGCGUUUUAGGAGUGCUCUAAAACUGAACCGGCGGCCUGUCGGCUGCGCCAAGGCAAGGGAAGCUCUGUGGUGCAAAUGAAAUAAAAAAGCUGUUGAGAAAUUGCCCCAGUAAUGCUCAGUGAUGAAGAGAGUGUGAGACCACCAAAGAGGAAAACAAUUCUCCUUUUUAAUUUUCUUUCUUUUUUCAAUCAACAAUACUACCUGUUGAACUGUCAACUGACUAAUGACCUUGGGGAAAAUCAGUGUUAACGUAAUGAAGUUUUGCUUAUUCCUCUCCAGUUGUCUUCUAGAAUAUAUCCUCCCUUGCUAAUAGAAGAAAAAAAUUAAACAACAAAACCCGAAGCUGUUAAUUAUGCCUCAUUAGGAGGAAAAUAAUGCAGAGGAAAAAUUCCUUCCCAAUUACCACUGGAUGAAAAAUCUACGAAAGUGCAUAUUAAUGACAUCCCUGGUUAGAACUGCCCAGCUUCAGAAGGGGGAUGGAAAAAUGAACCCUCUCUGCCCUUCCCUCCUCGCUGGCUCCUGUUCCUGCCUCCUUUGCUGUCCUUCUUCCAGAUGAGAAAGUGGACACGCUCCGUCCCACCAAACCUUAUAAUGUUUGGAUCUACUCCUGCGUGCUGAGAGACAAAUGCUGGAUACUACAUAGACUAAGGAUAUUGAACCACGAUGACUUCCAGCAAUUUACAGCAGGGUGAGCCGGCCCGUGUUUUGAUGACCGGUUAUGCUAUAAACCAUGCUGCGAGGCAUCCUCUGCCAGAAGAGUUUUCUGCUUCCGAGAUCAGAUGCUCUUCAGAAAGCAGCUGCGUUGAAAAGACUUCUGGCCCAGGCCAUGAUCAUUUCUAACCUCUUGUCAAGGCAAUAGCAU